rnacentral:rRNA from 1 species
AACGAACGCUGGCGGCAUGCUUAACACAUGCAAGUCGAACGUGAAAGUGGACUUCGGUCCGCAAGUAAAGUGGCGCACGGGUGAGUAACACGUGGAUAAUCUACCCGAUGAUCUGGAAUAACACUUCGAAAGGGGUGCUAAUACCGGAUAAGCCCACGACGUCCUCGGACGGCGCGGGAAAAGGGGGCUUCGGCUCCUGUCAUCGGAUGAGUCCGCGGCCCAUUAGCUAGUUGGUGAGGUAAAGGCCCACCAAGGCGAUGAUCGGUAGCUGGUCUGAGAGGACGAUCAGCCACACUGGAACUGGAACACGGUCCAGACUCCUACGGGAGGCAG